rnacentral:rRNA from 1 species
AUGCAUGCUUGCAGGUUCUUCCGUCCCCAGCAGACAACCAGCUCUGAAUCUGAGAUGGUCAUGGAAAAGGAGACAGCAGAAGAAGCCUACUUGCGUCUGGGAACCGGAGGGCAUGAAAAAACAGUUGAUCAAGUGAAAUCUCUUCAUGACUUCUCCGCCAUUGAUCUGUCGAAGCAAUUGGUACUGCCCAAAUAUGUUGCUUUUAAAGGCGACAAUGACAUGUACCUCCGGGCAAGGAUCAUCCAGAAAUACAAUUACCUGGAAUUCUCAUCAUCUGAUAUUGCAGAUUCAACUGUGGUCAACACUAUUUUCCCCAACUACGCUAAUGGAAACAUGCGCAUAAAAUCUAACCACUUCAACAGGUUUUGGAGGCUCAGCCCCAACUGGAUCUGGGCUGACUCCGCCGACAGCAGCAGCAGAGACCGUGACACACUCUUCAGGGUGGUCAUGUUGCCUGACUACAUCGGUCUCCAGAACCUGGGAAACUCCAGGUACUGCAAGAGGCUAACUGCCGACAGAAAGACAAGCUGCCUUAACGCCGCCGUCGAUACCAUCACACUGGAAGCAAGGUUACGGGUGGAAGAAGCCGUACUUUCACGAGAGAUCUAUGGCGUGGAGUUCAAGCUCUCCGAAGCUAGGAUCUACGGCGAGAAGCCUAUUACCUUUCCCAGCAUGACUUCAACCAAUGACACCAACGAACCACAUGCCAAGACCCUGACCCUGAAAUACGAGGAGACGCAGGCCAAGACCUGGAGCUCGACUGUUCGCCUCAAGAUUGGUGUCACGGCCAAGUUAAGAGCUGGGAUCCCAGUCAUAGCAGAAGGGAAGGUUGAGGUAUCCACUGAAUUCAAUUCAGAAUACGAGUGGGGGUCAUCCAUUCAUACAACGGCCUCACAAGAGGCCUCCUACCAUGCUGUGGUGCCUCCGAUGACCAAGGUGACAGUCAGAGCGGCUGUGACACAGGGUUCUGUUGACGUCCCGUUCUCCUACACUCAGAGGGACAUUCUGACCACAGGAGAGGUUGUUACCUACAAGAUGGAUGAUGGUCUGUUCACUGGUAUGAACAACUAUAAUUUCCAAUUUGAAGCCACACAAGAGCCCAUUUGA